CCCGUUUGUUAAGGGAGUGACGGGCGAUUUGUGCACAAAAAUAUUUAAAUUUAAUUUGAAAUUUGUUGUUCUUUCUAAAUUAAUAUUAAGUCCUUUAUAUAAUUUUUAAUAUAUGUUUACUUAUAUUAAUUAAAUGUGUUUCACUUCAACUUUAAUAUAAUUUCUGUCUUGAUUUGUCAUUUUAUCUUAAGAUUUUAAGGAGUUUUUCUUUAAAUUAAGUCUGUACAAUGAUAUAGAAAAUUAAAAUUAAAGUUCAUUAUAUCGUGGGUUAUCUAUCAAUGAGCAAAACCCCCUAAUUAAAUUUUUGCCGCCAUUUCAUUUAGAUUUCAUUUCAUUUAAUUACUAUCCUUUUUUUGAUUAAAA
rnacentral:rRNA from 1 species